AGUGAACGCUGGCGGUAGGCCUAACACAUGCAAGUCGAACGGCAGCACAGUAAGAGCUUGCUCUUACGGGUGGCGAGUGGCGGACGGGUGAGGAAUACAUCGGAAUCUACUUUUUCGUGGGGGAUAACGUAGGGAAACUUACGCUAAUACCGCAUACGACCUACGGGUGAAAGCAGGGGAUCUUCGGACCUUGCGCGAUUGAAUGAGCCGAUGUCGGAUUAGCUAGUUGGCGGGGUAAAGGCCCACCAAGGCGACGAUCCGUAGCUGGUCUGAGAGGAUGACAAGCCACACUGGAAUUGAGACACGGUCCAGACUCCUACGGGAGGCAGCAGUGGGGAAUAUUGGACAAUGGGCGCAAGCCUGAUCCAGCCAUACCGCGUGGGUGAAGAAGGCCUUCGGGUUGUAAAGCCUUUUUGUUGGGAAAGAAAAGCAGCAGGUUAAUACCCCGCUGUUCUGACGGUACCCAAAGAAUAAGCACCGGCUAACUUCGUG
rnacentral:rRNA from 1 species